rnacentral:misc_RNA from 1 species
GUGGUUCUACAUCGAAAG